rnacentral:lncRNA from 1 species
CACUCAGCUUUCUGAAAUGGUGUCCCACCACAAGGACUGGAGAAGGUCUUCUGUCAGCCUAACAAGCAUAGCAAGAAGAUAUAGCCCCACAACCACUUUAUGCACAUAGUUAGAAGCAUAAAAUCUCAUGGAAAGAGACCGAUUAUCCACAGAAGAUGUUGUCUUGCCAUUUCUCUCAUGUUAGAGGUAAACCUCAGGUUCUCCUCCUGCCUUUUGCUAAGUAUAUGUCUUGAUGACAAGCCUUCUGCUAAUGAGCUGUGUUUCUGGACCGAUCAUGGUAGAAGUCAAUUGAAGUGUCCCUCACUUGGGGUUUCUUAAGGUCAUCUAUGAACUGACUCUGUCUCAAAAAAAAGGAAGAAUGAAAAAAAAAAAAAACUAGGACACCGCUAACAGGAAUGGGGACAAAGAAUCUGCACUGAUGAGGAAACUGAAACAGAAAAUCCAGAGUAAAUUCCACCAGGCCACACAGCAAGGUCUGAUAGAGCCAGGAGAGACUUUAUGAAAUCCAGACUCUCACACUAAUGCUCUAUCAGCUAGACCUCCAUGUGAGUCUCCCCAAUGUAGGUAGGAAGCACUUUCCC